GACGAACGCUGGCGGCGCGCUUAACACAUGCAAGUCGUGCGGUGUCGAAGGCAAGUCUUACGACAAGCCUUCGACACAGCGGCGAACGGGUGAGUAACACGUGAGUAGCUGUCCUAAGGAGGGGGAUAACGCCUGGAAACGGGUGCUAACACCCCAUAUGCCUCGCAAGAGGUGAAAGUGUACUUGCUACAGCCUUAGGGUGUGCUCGCGGCCUAUCAGCUAGUUGGUGAGGUAACGGCUCACCAAGGCGACGAUCCUUAGCUGGUCUGAGAGGAUGAUCAGCCACACUGGGACUGAGACACGGCCCAGACUCCUACGGGAGGCAGCAGUGGGGAAUCUUCGGCAAUGGGCGGAAGCCUGACCGAGCGACGCCGCGUGAGGGACGAAGGCCUUCGGGUUGUAAACCUCUGUCUGGGGGACGAGUAAGGACGGUACCCCGGAGGAACGCCCCGGCUAACUACGUGCCAGCCAGCCGCGGUAAGAGUACUCUAU
rnacentral:rRNA from 1 species